rnacentral:rRNA from 1 species
GACGAACGCUGGCGGCGUGCUUAGCACAUGCAAGUCGAACGGAAAGGCCCUGCUUUUGUGGGGUGCUCGAGUGGCGAACGGGUGAGUAACACGUGAGUAACCUGCCCUUGACUUUGGGAUAACUUCAGGAAACUGGGGCUAAUACCGGAUAGGAGCUCCUGCUGCAUGGUGGGGGUUGGAAAGUUUCGGCGGUUGGGGAUGGACUCGCGGCUUAUCAGCUUGUUGGUGGGGUAGUGGCUUACCAAGGCUUUGACGGGUAGCCGGCCUGAGAGGGUGACCGGCCACAUUGGGACUGAGAUACGGCCCAGACUCCUACGGGGGGCAGCAGUGGGGAAUAUUGCACAAUGGGCGGAAGCCUGAUGCAGCAACGCCGCGUGCGGGAUGACGGCCUUCGGGUUGUAAACCGCUUUCGCCUGUGACGAAGCGUGAGUGACGGUAAUGGGUAAAGAAGCACCGGCUAACUACGUG